GCAGGAGGUAACGCCAAACAGCCACCAGCCAUGGUCUUCCUUUGGCAACAUGAGUUCAAAAAGAAGAUGAAAACAUAAAGAAUGUGUUUCACAGAACAAAAUGUAGAUGUACAUGAGGCUAAACAGUGAUGUCAGAGAAAACUGGACUAUGCACUCAAGAUCACAGGAAUUACUUUGCUAAAGGUAUGAGAAGUGGAAGAUGUUUGAGAAGCUCUGAUCUAUAAGAAGUGUACUUAUGAGCUCAUGGGGUGAGACUUCAACGAAAGCAAAACAACAUGAACAAUAAAACACAGUGAAAACCUAUUAAAGGCAUUGUGCACCAGGUGAACAUUCUACACAAUGCCUGCACUGGGGUCUGCUGUUACACGUGCCGUUGCAUGGUUACAGUUUACGAAAUUGAAAUCAAUAAGAAUGAUGAGGAAAAUAGCAGUUACUGUGAACAGAUAUGAACCUGUGAAAUGAAAACUCUGAAAUGGACACACUGAGUUCUAUGCAACUUACUUAACCUGGUAAAAAUGUCAUGCAUAUU